UUCUUAAUAGGGAGAAGCUUAUGAACUGCAAGCUGUAGAAAACUGAAAAUCGAGGCCCAGUUUUUGUGAUACUGUGGCUGCUGUUUACUACAUUUAUCUGAAAGGAAUUUCCUGUUGCUCUUAUGUUGCAGGGCAAUCUGGUUCUUUCAGAUAUUGGAUUAGCAGAGAAACGAGUUUAUCAUGCUGCUCUUAAUGGUAAUAUUAGUAUGCCUACUGUUUUGCAUCAGAAAGACGAUUGAUAAAUUCAUCGUCUUGCUGUGAAUGUGUAGCUAGUCCAUUGAUUUGCUAACGAAUAAAAUUUAGGCUGCGGAGACUUGCCUGGAGCCAGAAUCCAUUACAAUUAUGUUGAGAUCUGUAACUAUUUAUACACAAAAUGAUGGUCUGAAUAAUAAAUAGGUACCUCAUGAGCCAUCAAUGCAAUACAUGCUGAUUUCUCAUCUGACCUGCAAUGCAGAAACUGUUAGAUAUAAACAGUUAAUAUGAAAGAAUUCUGGUAGUUAUUUAAAAUUCUUUAUAUAAAAUUAAUAGCAUUACAAACUUGUUUAAUCUCACCAUUCAUUAUCUUAAAUUCUAAGACUUCAAGCAUUAGUAGAUAGGUUGCAAGUCUUUAACAUCAAUAAAUGGAGUUAUUCAUCUUUCUUGGAGCUUAGUCUUUGCAUUUCUAUUUUUAAAUUAUGGAUUCUGAUAGUUUGUUAUAAGAAAUAUUAGAAUAGGGAUGAAAUUAUACUAAUAGGAAAUAGAUCAAGACAUGUAUUUCUUUAGUUUUUUUUUCACUUUAUUUAUACAUCUAAAGGAAACUAAGGGAAAUUAGCAAUACUUCAAUCAUUUGAGUGUAGCUUAUGAAAUUUGUUGGUUGUAGAUUGGUUGAAACAAGUAUAUGUCUUUAAUAGUGUAUAUUUUAAUAUGUUUUAUAUAAUAUUUUUUAUCAAUUAGGUAGAGGUACAAGAAAUUGCUGCAGAGAUGGGCCAAUCUAAUCCUAAUACGCCCGUGGAUAUGAACAAGAUUUAUCUAGAUGUCUUGGGAGGCGGUUUAGAUAAAAAGCAAAGAUUGUUCGGCACAGGUAGUCUCGCAUUGACCUUGAAGACCAAUAUAUCGGGAGAGAGUAGUACUUCAGCUAUGUCCGACAUUGACAAAGAGCAGUAUGCCACUCGCCUAGGAGAUGUAGAGGAGCAGCUUCAAGAGGAGCGAGAAAGGACAUCUCGAUUAGAAGAACAUGUUAAAGUUGCAAUGGAGAUUAUCAAGCAGUUGCAAGGGCAAUCGAAGCAGUGCCACUAGCCAAUCCAGAUCCACCAUCAUAUGUUCCAUGAUUAUACAUGUGUUUUGAUUUUGAUAUCGACUAUCUCUAGGUGCUUGAUUUUGAAAUACUUGUUAGAUAUGUGAUUUUUAAACUAUUUUGGUUUGUGACUACUAUUUCUAGGUGUUUGGUUUUGAAAUACUUGUUAGACACGUGAUUUCUAAACUAUCUUGGUUUAUGACUAUUUUGGUUUAUGACUUUGAUAUUGACUAUUUUGGGAUAAUGAGUGUGUUGGAUGUUGAAAUAAUAUUAAUUGUUGUUAGUUCUGCUAGAAAUCGAGUAUAUAACAGGUUGUAUUACGGUAAACAAAAAUUAAAAUAAAAAUUACAAAAUU
rnacentral:lncRNA from 1 species